GAAUACAGUUUAAUAUUGGAAUGCAUUAUAGCUUAAACAAUACUUGUUCAUACAUAUAAAUAAUAAAAUUUUCAUAUUGACACUAGGUACUAUUUCAAGUUAAUGAUCAAGUAAAAUGAAUUUGAUUUCAAUUUUCAAACGGUGAAUUCAAAAUAAAAAAAAGUCAGUAAAAAUACUGAAAAGCAAAUUCACUUGGCAUCGCUGGUUGCUUUCGAUUUUAUACCUUCGUAUUCUAUCACACCGGUGGACGGCCAACAUUUUUGGUCUAUAUUUCACGAUAGAAAAAUUCCCAUCUGUGCUACAGACGUCAAAGUUCCUACCACUUUUUCCCAACACCAUUGGACUUGCUCUAAGUGGGGGCUGCCUCCAUUUGAAAUAGCACUGCAUCGAGGUAUCAUUUAUAACAGAUUGAUUUGGCGGAUGAAAAAUAUCCCUGGAUGGAGCUAUUGAAUGUGCAUCAGCAAACUAUCGAAGGGAUAUAAGUUUUGGUUACCUGGUUCUACUUGGGUUGCCGCAAUAUGCCGUCUGCUUACGUACGCUGUGUCGCUACAGAAAAGAAUACCCAAUCAUGAAGAAGGCAAAAAGAAAAUCCUUCGGGGUUGACGAAAAGAAGGAUGACAAAGAUUCUUCCGGUAUUUACUAUUUCUACUGGGACGACGAGUAAGAUUAGAAAAAUCGUGCACAAGAACGGCAGCAGAAAACAGCUUCCGAAUUCGGUUACAGCGAAAGCCUGAAUCUGGGCUACAAGCAACUUCAACGGUGUUGGAUUCUAGAUAAUGGUCCAAAGCGAAACGAGAAGUCGAGAGAGAGUCUCAUGUAAAGUUAUAAGAUGUGAGUUGGACCUUAAAAUGAAACUGAAAUGCUAUCUGAUUUAUUCAUCCCAGUUUUUCCUUAAUUUUUUGAAUUACGCUUGCGGUAAAACUUACGGUAAAACAUCCUACAACUUCCCAUGUCAUUCGGGUUAACUUAUCGGCAUUGUUUAAAAAUGUAUCUCAAAACUUUAGU